rnacentral:rRNA from 1 species
CUACGGGAUGCAGCAGUGAGGAAUAUUGCACAAUGGGGGGAACCCUGAUGCAGCAACGCCGCGUGGAGGAUGACGCAUUUCGGUGUGUAAACUCCUUUUAUAUGUCAAGAAAAUGACGGUAGCAUAUGAAUAAGCACCGGCUAACUCCGUGCCAGCAGCCGCGGUAAUAGGAGGGUGCAAGCGUUACUCGGAAUCACUGGGCGUAAAGGACGCGUAGGCGGGUUGGAAAGUCAGGUGUGAAAUCCUACAGCUUAACUGUAGAACUGCAUUUGAAACUUCUAAUCUAGAGUAUGGGAGGGGGAGAUGGAAUUAGUGGUGUAGGGGUAAAAUCCGUAGAUAUCACUAGGAAUACCUAAAGCGAAGGCGAUCUCCUGGAACAUUACUGACGCUAAGGCGUGAAAGCGUGGGGAGCAAACAGGAUUAGAUACCCGAGUAGUC